CGCUGCGGUGGCCUGGUGGUUAGAGCGUCCGCCUCGGAUGCGGGAGGUCGUGGGUUCGAUCCCCGGUCGAGUCA